GGAAAGGUGGCUCAGAAAUAUCAGCGACCAGGGAAUUUGUCUUUUGACAGAUGUACCAGCCGAACAUCAUUACGCCAGGAACGUCUUGAGCAAGAUUGGGUGUCUGAUGGCAACCUUUUACGGAGAGCUGUGGGACGUCAAAGUUGAGAAAAAGAUGGUCAAUUCUACAGACGGACGACAGGCGCUUUUGUUCCACAUGGACCAAGCCAUAUAUGAGGCACAGCCCGGUAUACAGUUUCUUCAUUG